rnacentral:rRNA from 1 species
UCGGAUCAGGUAGGGAUACCCGCUGAACUUAAGCAUAUC